CCCUGUGCCUUUGGGUCCUGCAUCGUGAGGGUGAUGAAGGCGAUGCGUAUUCUAAGAAGAAACAGGAUUGACAUCUAAAGAAGUGGUAGCCGCAGAGCAGCCGUUGAUGAUCACAGUAAUCUGUCUGCAGUUACUGAAUCCCUUUCUGAGGAGGCUCUUAGAGAUGGAGAAGCGAGAAAGUAACUUCCUCAAGGAUUGGGACUGUGUCUUACUUCUGCUGUAUGUUUCCGGGAUCCUGUUCAGUCCAGAGACCUGGGGAAGUCCUGAAGGAUUUGACACAAGAUGAGAUUCUGGAUUUUAAACUUUGGCAGAGGCGGAACAUGGCAGCACAGAGAGAAGAGAGAGAAAACAGCUGCAGAACAACAAUAGCUGUUUAAGGAUCUGACAAGCAGCACAUGACACAGUUUGCUCUUUCUGCCGCUGCUCCAUCUCAAGAAAGGCUGUGUUUCAGUACACAGGUUCUGGGAGAACGACAGAAAAAGAUGGUCUUUUCUCCUCCCCACCCCAACAAUCCCAUCCUUCAGGAUGUUUCUCAACGUGGAAAAGGGAGUGUCGAUGGGGAAUCUCUCUGAAAUAAUUUCAUUCAAUCUGAA